rnacentral:lncRNA from 1 species
UUUUUUUCAUUUUAAAGUAUGAUGGUGUUGUUUUAAUGUAAAGAAGUACAGAGAAAAUGAGAAGUGUCCUACUGUCUGUCCACAUCAGCAUUCUGAAAUGGUGAGCAAGAGCUACAGCUGGGGACUUGAGAAAGGCCCUCCCUCCCUUCCACCCCAUCUCCCCAAGAAGCAACCGCCUUCCAGAAAGAAAGAAAGAAAAAAGGUUGCUACAUAACUGAUAUGUAUAUGUAUUCUCUUUCAUUUAUACAAAAGUGAUCACGUGAGCCUGUGGUAGGACAGACGAGGCAAGGCACCAAAGACAGCAGGACACAGGUUCAGAGGGCACAGCCUUUGCUGUCAUCAAUCAAUCCCCUGAACCCCGAGUUCAGGGAGUUUCAGGGUUUUAUACCCAGCGUGUAAGGGGAGGGGCUCCGAAGUUCACAGUCUGCAGAAGUUCACAUAAAGCAGCUUUUUCUUUCACUGUUGUGGGCAAGUUAACCCUUCAAGGACAACACCUGACUGAGAAGGGGAGAGCCUCUCCUCCCCUCUCCUUCCUCCCCCUGCCAGCUGUUACCAUGGAGCCCAUUUGUAACUUAUCUUAAAAAGGUAGACAUCUCUGUGAAGCCCUGCUCAAGGCCAGAGGCCUAGUUUACACAUUUCUACAAAGUACUCUACUGGAUACAUGUUUGUGAAAACUAGUGAGGGGUGUUCAGCACCUGGAGGGCUGGUAUCUUCUCGGCCAGUGGCCAAGUAAACAGGGCGACAGGAAAAUGGGAAGUUUAUCUACGAUGGACUCUUUUGCUGACAGUCCUAAAAUCAGCCAAGGUGAUGAUUUCUAAAGCAGCCCAGUUAGGACUUUUCUGUGGAGAAAGGGGGUGCCACUUCAAGCCAGGCACCAGGGGUGCACACCUGACAUCCCAGUGGCUCCAGGGGCUGAGGCAGGAGGAUCCCAAGUUCAAAGCCAGCCUCAACAACUGCAGUGGCGAGGCACUAAGCAACUCAGUGAGAUCCUGUCUCUAAAUAAAAUAAAUAAUAGGGCUGCGGAUGGGCUUAGUGGUUGAGUGUCCCGGAGUUCAAAUCCUGGUACCCUCCCCCACAAAAAAAAAACAAAAAAACCCACCAUCAAAAGCAAACCAUCACUUUUGGUGGUGGGGUUUUUUUUUUUGGUUUUUUUUUUCAUUUCUUGGAAAUGUUUCCUGCCGCUUCUGGACAAUAUUUUGCUCUUCUCAUAAAGCACCAUAGUUUGAACCUUGAUAUUUUUCACCUAAUAAAAUAUUUUAGAAAUCCCUUUCUACCGUUCUAUACCUAAACUCCUCUUUUUAAUGUCUCUGGACAGUUCCAUCUUCCUAUAGUGGUACCACAGUUUAUUUUAACUAGGCUCUCCCCCUUUUGUUGGUGCUGGGGACUGAGCCCAGGAGUGCUUUUCCACUGAGCUACAUCCCCAGCCCUUUUUGUUUUGAGACAGGGUCUCACACUAAGUUGCUGAGGCUGGCCUCAAUCUUGUGAUCCUCCUGCCUCAGCCUCCCGCAUCAUUGACAACACCAGUUUUUCAACAAUUCAUAUUUUUGGUGCCACUUUUAAAUCCUACCCAUGUUGAAAAUUGUGCUUGUAAGUUGAUAAUGCUGCUUCCACAGUCUAUAUUCUCCUUUUCUUCAGUCUGUAGUGACCUGUAAUAAUUAUCAGGUUCAUAAUAUGUUUUGAUAUUUAUUAAAGCCAAGCCUGGGGUCACUAUUUACUCUCUGUUUUUGAUUUGUUUAUUUGUUUAUUUCAGACUCCCCACUGUCAUGCUCACAUAUUGACCAUUGUAAAAACUGCUCUCCAUGGGAUAUGGUGACGCAUGCCUGUAACCCUGGUGGCUUGGGAGGCUGAGGCAGGAGGAUCACAAAUUCAAGGCCAGCUUCCACAAUUUAUCUAGGCCCUAAGCAAUUCAGUGAGACCCUGUCUCUAAAUAAGAUACAGAAAAGGGCUGGAGAUGUGGCUCAGUGGUUAUGCAUCUCUGUGUUUAAUCCCUGGUACCAAAACAUAAAUAAAUAAAAACAGCUCACC